ensembl:misc_RNA Y_RNA Y RNA
GGCUAGUCUGUGUGCAGUGGUGUUUACAACUAUGAUCACCAUGAGUUACAGAUUUCUUUGUUCCUUCUCCACUCCCACUGCUUCACUUGACUAGCCUAAU